AGAACUCCAUUGUUUAAUGCUGUUAAGAGUGGUAGUAUUGAAGCUGUUGAUAUUCUAUUAACUAAUGGAGCUAUAACUGAUGUUGUAUCUAAAAAUGGUGAAACUCUACUACAUUGUGCUGGUGAAUCUGGUAAAGUUGAAAUGCUUGAGUUUUGGAUUAUAAAAGGAGAUUAUGAUGUGAAUGUUAAAAA
rnacentral:lncRNA from 1 species